rnacentral:rRNA from 1 species
UUAAAUUUGUAAGGGCGUAUGGUGGAUGCCUUGGCAUUAGAAGCUGAUGAAGGACGUGACUAACUACGAUAUGCUUCGGGGAGAUGUACGUAAUCUUUGAUCCGGAGAUUUCCGAAUGGGGGAACCCACUAGUGGUAAUGCACUAGUAUCACAUAAUGAAUAUAUAGUUAUGUAGAAAGCAACCCAGUGAACUGAAACAUCUUAGUAACUGGAGGAAAAGAAAGAAAAAUCGAUUUCCUUAGUAGUGGCGAGCGAAACGGAAAGAGCCCAAACUGACUUUAGAGUCGGGGUUGUAGGACCUCUACUUAAGAGUUACAAAUUCACAAUAUAGUUGAACUAUUCUGGAAAGUUUGGCAAAACAAGGUGAUAGCCCUGUAAACGAAAUAUUGUGAACUCUUUGAGGUAUCCUGAGUACAACGAGACACGUGGAAUCUUGUUGGAAUCUGCGGGGACCAUCCCGCAAGGCUAAAUACUCUCUAAUGACCGAUAGUGAACAAGUACCGUGAGGGAAAGGUGAAAAGAACCCCGGGAGGGGAGUGAAAUAGAAACUGAAACCGUAUGCUUACAAAAAGUUCGAGCACAUUAAUGUGUGAGAGCGUGCCUUUUGCAGAAUGAACCGGCGAGUUAUUGUAUUAUGCAAGGUUAAGUCGAACAGAUGGAGCCGAAGCGAAAGCAAGUCUGAAUAGGGCGCUUUAGUAUGAUGCAAUAGACCCGAAACCGAGUGAUCUAGCCAUGAGCAGGUUGAAGUUGGGGUAAGACCCAAUGGAGGACCGAACCGAUAUGCCCGGAAACGCGUACGGAUGACUUGUGGUUAGCGGAGAAAUUCCAAACGAACUCGGAGAUAGCUGGUUCUCCCCGAAAUAGGUUUAGGCCUAGCCUUGAUUGAAUCUGCCCGGAGGUAGAGCACUGAAUGUGCGAUGGCGUCGUCUAGAUGUACUGAGUACAAUCAAACUCCGAAUGCUGGGUAGUACUAAUCAGGAGUCACUGUAUGGGUGAUAACGUCCAUACGGGAGAGGAAAAGAAUCCGGAUCGCCAGCUAAGGUCCCAAAAUUUGUGUUAAGUGGGAAAGGAUGUAGAGUUGUCAAAACAGCUAGGAGGUUGGCUUAGAAGCAGCCACCCUUUAAAGAGUGCGUAAUAGCUCACUAGUCGAGUGACACUGCGCCGAAGAUGUACCGGGGCUAAACACAAUACCGAAGCUGCGGACUUGCAUGUAAGUGCAAGUGGUAGGGGAGCGUUCUAAGGGCUGUGAAGGUAGACCGUAAGGACUGCUGGAGCGCUUAGAAGUGAGAAUGCCGGUGUGAGUAACGAAAAUUGGGUGAGAAUCCCAUUCACCGUUUGACUAAGGUUUCCUGGGUAAAGUUCGUCUUCCCAGGGUUAGUCAGGGCCUAAGAUGAGGCUGAAAAGCGUAGUCGAUGGACAACAGGUUUAUAUUCCUGUACCACCUAUGUAACUGAUGGAGUGACGGAGAAAGCUAAUGAGAGCCAGUUAUUGGAUUCUGGUCUAAGUGCGUAGGCUAGUAUGUUGGGAAAUCCGCAAUACUAUUACAGCUGAAACAUGAUGGGGAAGUGAUCCUUCGGGUGAGCAAACUUUCAUGAUGCUACGCUUCCAAGAAAAGCUUCUAGGGCUAAUUGCAUAGGUGCCUGUACCGACAACCGACACAGGUGGUCAAGGAGAGUAUCCUAAGGUGAGCGAGAGAACUAUGGUUAAGGAACUCGGCAAAAUGACCCCGUAACUUCGGGAGAAGGGGUGGUCUAGCGAUAGACCCGCAGUGAAUAGGCCCAGGCAACUGUUUACCAAAAACACAGGUCUCUGCUAACACGUAAGUGGAUGUAUAGGGGCUGACGCCUGCCCAGUGCUGGAAGGUUAAAGAGAUUAGUUAGUAUGACGUAAGUCGAUAAUACGAAGCUUUGAACUGAAGCCCCAGUGAACGGCGGCCGUAACUAUAACGGUCCUAAGGUAGCGAAAUUCCUUGUCAGGUAAGUUCUG